GGAAGGCCCUUCGGGGUACUCGAGCGGCGAACGGGUGAGUAACACGUGAGCAACCUGCCCUAGGCUUUGGGAUAACCCUCGGAAACGGGGGCUAAUACCGAAUAUGACCUGGCCUCGCAUGAGGCUUGGUGGAAAGUUUUUCGGCCUGGGAUGGGCUCGCGGCCUAUCAGCUUGUUGGUGGGGUGAUGGCCUACCAAGGCGACGACGGGUAGCCGGCCUGAGAGGGCGACCGGCCACACUGGGACUGAGACACGGCCCAGACUCCUACGGGAGGCAGCAGUGGGGAAUAUUGCACAAUGGGCGGAAGCCUGAUGCAGCGACGCCGCGUGAGGGAUGACGGCCUUCGGGUUGUAAACCUCUUUCAGCAGGGACGAAGCGUAAGUGACGGUACCUGCAGAAGAAGCGCCGGCCAACUACGUGCCAGCAGCCGCGGUAAGACGUAGGGCGCGAGCGUUGUCCGGAUUUAUUGGGCGUAAAGAGCUCGUAGGCGGCUUGUCGCGUCGACCGUGAAAACUUGGGGCUCAACCCCAAGCCUGCGGUCGAUACGGGCAGGCUAGAGUUCGGUAGGGGAGACUGGAAUUCCUGGUGUAGCGGUGAAAUGCGCAGAUAUCAGGAGGAACACCGGUGGCGAAGGCGGGUCUCUGGGCCGAUACUGACGCUGAGGAGCGAA
rnacentral:rRNA from 1 species